rnacentral:rRNA from 1 species
AGCGAACGCUGGCGGCAGGCCUAACACAUGCAAGUCGAACGAACCUUUCGGGGUUAGUGGCGGACGGGUGAGUAACACGUGGGAACGUGCCUUUAGGUUCGGAAUAACUCAGGGAAACUUGUGCUAAUACCGAAUGUGCCCUUCGGGGGAAAGAUUUAUCGCCUUUAGAGCGGCCCGCGUCUGAUUAGCUAGUUGGUUGAGGUAAUGGCUCACCAAGGCGACGAUCAGUAGCUGGUCUGAGAGGAUGAUCAGCCACAUUGGGACUGAGACACGGCCCAAACUCCUACGGGAGGCAGCAGUGGGGAAUCUUGCGCAAUGGGCGAGGGCCUGACGCAGCCAUGCCGCGUGAAUGAUGAAGGUCUUAGGAUUGUAAAAUUCUUUCACCGGGGACGAUAAUGACGGUACCCGGAGAAGAAGCCCCGGCUAACUUCGUG